AUCUCGCGGCCUAUCAGCUUGUUGGUGAGGUAGUGGCUCACCAAGGCGACGACGAGUAGCCGGCCUGAGAGGGCGACCGGCCAUACUGGGACUGAGACACGGCCCAGACUCCUACGGGAGGCAGCAGUGGGGAAUAUUGCACAAUGGGCGGAAGCCUGACGCAGCGACGCCGCGUGAGGGAUGACGGCCUUCGGGUUGUAAACCUCUUUCAGCAGGGAAGAAGCGCAAGUGACGGUACCUGCAGAAGAAGCACCGGCUAACUACGUGCCAGCAGCCGCGGUAAUACGUAGGGUGCGAGCGUUGUCCGGAAUUAUUGGGCGUAAAGAGCUUGUAGGUGGUUUGUCGCGUCUGCUGUGAAAAUCCGAGGCUCAACCUCGGACUUGCAGUGGGUACGGGCAGACUAGAGUGUGGUAGGGGAGACUGGAAUUCCUGGUGUAGCGGUGGAAUGCGCAGAUAUCAGGAGGAACACCGAUGGCGAAGGCAGGUCUCUGGGCCAUUACUGACACUGAGAAGCGAAAGCAUGGGGAGCGAACAGGAUUAGAUACCCUGGUAGUCCAUGCCGUAAACGUUGGGAACUAGGUGUGGGUCUCAUUCCACGAGAUCCGUGCCGCAGCUAACGCAUUAAGUUCCCCGCCUGGGGAGUACGGAAGCUUGGAAUUCG
rnacentral:rRNA from 1 species